UUCCAACAACGGCAAACCCUGAGCGAUCGGGGGACGCAAAGGAAAGGGUCUUUACUGUACAGGGAAGUAUAGGAACAAAGAAAUAAAGAAUCUCUAGCGUAUAUGGAAAUACGUAUCAUAAUAAGAUAGCCUUACUGCUGAA
rnacentral:ncRNA from 1 species